GACGAACGCUGGCGGCGUGCUUAACACAUGCAAGUCGAACGUGAUUUUUGUGGAAAGCCCUUCGGGGACGGAAAUGAAAUGAAAGUGGCGAACGGGUGAGUAACACGUGAGCAACCUACCUUACACAGGGGGAUAGCCGUUGGAAACGACGAUUAAUACCGCAUGAGACCACAAAGCCACAUGGCUUAGGGGUAAAAGAUUUAUCGGUGUAAGAUGGGCUCGCGUCUGAUUAGCUAGUUGGAAGGGUAAAGGCCUACCAAGGCAACGAUCAGUAGCCGGUCUGAGAGGAUGAACGGCCACAUUGGAACUGAGACCCGGUCCAAACUCCUACGGGAGGCAGCAGUGGGGAAUAUUGCACAAUGGGGGGAACCCUGAUGCAGCGACGCCGCGUGAGCGAAGAAGGUUUUCGAAUCGUAAAGCUCUGUCCUAUGAGAAGAUAAUGACGGUAUCAUAGGAGGAAGCCCCGGCUAAAUACGUGCCAGCAGCCGCGGUAAUACGUAUGGGGCGAGCGUUGUCCGGAAUUAUUGGGCGUAAAGGGUACGUAGGCGGCCUUUUAAGUCAGGUGUGAAAGCGUGAGGCUUAACCUCAUUAAGCACUUGAAACUGGAAGGCUUGAGUGAAGGAGAGGAAAGUGGAAUUCCUAGUGUAGCGGUGAAAUGCGUAGAUAUUAGGAGGAAUACCGGUGGCGGAGGCGACUUUCUGGACUUUUACUGACGCUCAGGUACGAAAGCGUGGGGAGCAAACAGGAUUAUAUACGCUGGGUGUCCAAGGGCGAAUUCCACAGUGGAUAUCAAGCUUAUCGAUACCGUCGACCUCGAGGGGGGGGCCGGGUACCCAGCUUUUGUUCGCUUUAUUGAGGGUUAAUUACCUC
rnacentral:rRNA from 1 species